AUCGAGGAAAUUCGUUUGAGCAUUCAAAACAAUGAAAGAUCCCAAAGCGAUCAAGUAAAAAUCACAAGAUCAGUGCUAGCGCUAUUGCACCAGCCAGUUUCAAUUCUCCUUAACUUCUUGGGAAUCCAGCAUUUAUAUGAAAUGAAGUUAGUUCCAUUCACAGUCCCAUAAACUUCUUGAUCGCAUGUGCAAAGAAGUAUCAAAA